rnacentral:rRNA from 1 species
GCGUUAACGAGCGAGACCUGGGCGUGCUAAAUAGGGCAUGUUAUUCUUGUAAUAGCAUCGCCCUUCUUAGACGGACUGUAGGCUUUUAGUCUAUGGAAGCUCCAGGCA